UGUGUCAAGAUGGGAUUGACCACUCCAGUUCAGGAGCUGUGCACAGUCGUGUUUCAAUUUAGAAAAAUCUUGGCCAGGGUAGUCCUAAUGAGGAGUCACAGGACUGUUUGAGUUGAGCAUGAUUCGGAUGAUCUAAUCAGGGUUGACAGUUUAACCCUGAGUCAUCCUAAACACAGGGGUCAAAAGGAAUGAAUUAUAC
rnacentral:lncRNA from 1 species